rnacentral:tRNA from 1 species
CCCUCUGUAGCUCAUGGGAGAGCGCUGCAUAACCGGAUUCCGUGGGGGUUUUCCGGGCAGAGACUCCGGUUCGAUUCCGGGCAGAGGGG